rnacentral:rRNA from 2 species
GAGGUGGCUGAAUACCGAAUAUACCCUGCUGGUCGCAUGGCCUGGUGGGGGAAAGCUUUUGCGGUGUGGGAUGGGCCCGCGGCCUAUCAGCUUGUUGGUGGGGUGAUGGCCUACCAAGGCGACGACGGGUAGCCGGCCUGAGAGGGUGACCGGCCACACUGGGACUGAGAUACGGCCCAGACUCCUACGGGAGGCAGCAGUGGGGAAUAUUGCACAAUGGGCGCAAGCCUGAUGCAGCGACGCCGCGUGAGGGAUGACGGCCUUCGGGUUGUAAACCUCUUUCAGCACAGACGAAGCGCAAGUGACGGUAUGUGCAUAAGAAGGACCGGCCAACUACGUGCCAGCAGCCGCGGUAAUACGUAGGGUCCGAGCGUUGUCCGGAAUUACUGGGCGUAAAGAGCUCGUAGGUGGUUUGUCGCGUUGUUCGUGAAAACUCACAGCUUAACUGUGGGCGUGCGGGCGAUACGGGCAGACUAGAGUACUGCAGGGGAGACUGGAAUUCCUGGUGUAGCGGUGGAAUGCGCAGAUAUCAGGAGGAACACCGGUGGCGAAGGCGGGUCUCUGGGCAGUAACUGACGCUGAGGAGCGAAAGCGUGGGGAGCGAACAGGAUUAGAUACCCUGGUAGUCCACGCCGUAAACGGUGGGUACUAGGUGUGGGUUUCCUUCCUUGGGAUCCGUGCCGUAGCUCACGCAAUAAGUACCCCGCCUGGGGAGUACGGCCGCAAGGCUAACACUCAAAGGAAAUGACUGGGGGCCCGCUCACGCCGGGGGAGCAUGUGGAUUAAUUCGAUUGUUUCGCGAGAACCUAC